UUUUAAAGGACAAGAGCUGUCCAUUGGUUUUAGGUANNAAAAAAC
rnacentral:tRNA from 1 species